AUCAAUAUGAAAAAUAUUAUCAUUAGAUAGAAUCAGAAGAUCAAUAUUAAUAAUGCCAUGACAAAGAAUUUUAUUAGAAAAAAAAAUGAGCAACUAUUGCUCUUUCCAUUAAUUUUAAAAUUUUAUUACAAUAGCAAUGGUAUAAAAAUAAUAUUUCUAAUGAUCUUAGGUAUAUAAUAACAGUUUUCUAGCUCUAAGAUCUUCCCAUAAGAUAACUCCAAUAUAUAUGUCCCUAUAGCCUCUGCUUGGAUGG
rnacentral:lncRNA from 1 species